rnacentral:rRNA from 1 species
UACGUAGGUGGCAAGCGUUGUUCGGAAUUACUGGGCGUAAAGCGCGCGUAGGCGGCUUUGUAAGUUAGAGGUGAAAGCCCGGAGCUCAACUCCGGAAUUGCCUUUAAGACUGCAUCGCUAGAACGUCGGAGAGGUGAGUGGAAUUCCGAGUGUAGAGGUGAAAUUCGUAGAUAUUCGGAAGAACACCAGUGGCGAAGGCGACUCACUGGACGACUGUUGACGCUGAGGUGCGAAAGCGUGGGGAGCAAACAGG